UGAGGAAUAUUGGACAAUGGAGGCAACUCUGAUCCAGCCAUGCCGCGUGUAGGAAGACUGCCCUAUGGGUUGUAAACUACUUUUAUAGAGGAAGAAACCGCUCUACGUGUAGAGCUCUGACGGUACUCUACGAAUAAGGAUCGGCUAACUCCGUGCCAGCAGCCGCGGUAAUACGGAGGAUCCAAGCGUUAUCCGGAAUCAUUGGGUUUAAAGGGUCCGUAGGCGGGUUUGUAAGUCAGUGGUGAAAGUUUUCGGCUCAACCGGAAAAUUGCCAUUGAUACUGCAAGUCUUGAAUCAUUAUGAAGUGGUUAGAAUAAGUAGUGUAGCGGUGAAAUGCAUAGAUAUUACUUAGAAUACCGAUUGCGAAGGCAGAUCACUAAUAAUGUAUUGACGCUAAGGGACGAAAGCGUGGGUAGCGAACAGGAUUAGAUACCCCCGUAGUCC
rnacentral:rRNA from 1 species